rnacentral:rRNA from 1 species
AUGUGCGUCCGUGUUUAUGUGUGUGGCCUUCUACAGGCAGAGGAAGUCGAUGGUUGCAGGCAGAGGAGGAUUACGAUAGUUCCCUUGCUCUUUGCCAGAAAAACUGAUAGUUCUUUUGAUUUGUUUUGGUCUGGAUUAGUACAAAAGUGCACUGAUAUUUGUUUUGUGGUGCAGGAGCUUCAAGACAGCAGGUUUAGCAGGGAUCAAUUGCAACCUUCGUUUAGCUUCUGUUAUGUGAACCAAUUUGUGAUGGCUUCUAAAAGCACAUGGCUGGUACAGAGCAAAUUUUACACCAGAGCCGUCGUCUCCGUCGACUUUGCCGCAAGACAAUCUGCCAUCACCUCCGCCGACUUUGCCGUAAGAUCAUCAGCCGUCGCCUGGACCUACUUUGGCGCAGGACCUGAAGGAAAGCGGCAACAAAAGCAAGAACCAAAGGCGCAGUCGCGCAAGGUCGAACCAUCCACAAAGAUCCUCUUCCUGCAGCUAUGA